GGCUGUAGCUUAGUGGUAAAGUGCUUGCCUUGCAUGUAUGAGGCACUGGGUUCAAUCUCGGCACCA
rnacentral:tRNA from 1 species